GCGGAGACGCCUCGAAGGGGUUCUGCUGCGUUUUCCGUAAGGGGCGGGCAGGCAGAGAGCCAACAGGCGCAGUCUUUUCCUGGCUGAGUUUCUGCCGCUGAUAGGCUAGGCAGCACAGGCACACGUUGGCUGGCAAAAUAAUAACGGGCAAAUAAUAACGGGCUGUAUGCAUUGCUAGCCCUACUUUGGGUAGAUCCAUUGAAAUGAAUGAUCAUGACUAAGGCGCUGUGAUCCUAUCUUGGAUAUGGGCUUUACACGAUUCCCAUUCAACACUCUGAGGAGAAGCUGAACCCUCAUCAGUUUCAAAAUGUUCCUGAAGUUUGCCUUGCCCCAUCCCCAUCUUCUAACAUUCUCAUCCCUACAUCUCAGUCAGCAGGGCCAGUGGUCAGAGGUGAUGGCGAACAAGCACAGAUGCUCCCCAGCCCUGCCCCACAUUCUGAACAGGCAGCCAAAGAAAGGGGCCACUGGCACCCAGCUGCUGCUGGGCAGUCUGCUGCCCAAACCACACACCCCAACCUGAUCCAGCCACAUACCUGGUGAGGGUUGGCCAGAAGCAGAACUUGAGAUAUCACCGUUGGGGGAAGGAGUGGGUUGAAGGCCGGCAGCUCGGAGCCUGUGGCCGGUUGCAGCUUGAUGGCCAUCGACUAUCAUUCAGCAGCAAGGAAGAGGAGAGGGAGAGAGGAAGAAAGAUGAGCUCUCCUCAGGCACAAGCUCAGCCCAAGUGGGGUCGCUGGGACAACUCCAUGGCUCAGUGCCCCAGCAGCAUAUCAAUCACAACAUUUUAUAAAUUAUCCCCUCUUUCUGUUUCAAGUUGAAACCCCCAAGGAAAAUACACCCUCAUACCGCAAAGCAGGAAGGCAAGGCAAAAGUGACAAAAACAGUGGUCAGGCCAAAGACCUGCUGGAAGAGAAACGUUUUCUGCUGGCCUGGUCUGUAUGGAAGCCUAAGAUCCUUGUGACAUCAGGUGGGAAAAGCCUCAGCCUUCCCUGACAGCAGCAAGAAAUGGAACCUUUAGCAUCGUCGGCCAAGUCCUGUGGGACCUUCUGCCACUGGAGAUUCAGCAGGGGCCAUCUAACGCCUGCUGAAAACUUUUAUAUUCUGCCAUACCUGUGCAGGCAAUCAAGAAUAGCUCCUUCACAAUGGUUUAACUGGUGUCUGCUUUUUAACUUUUGUUACGGCUUGUAUUGUAUUGCUUUAUGUUUUUACUGCUAUAACCCGCUUUGUUAAAUUAUUUAUGGCACUGCGGCAUACACAUAUUUUUAUAAGUAAAUAAAUGAAGGGCACUA